AAAUCAGUAAAUUAAAGGAUGGCAUUUUUGUCCUUGAUGUUCUACGCCUCCCUCGACAUUUGGAGAUUUCUCUAUGCCUCCACCCUCACAUCCUCGCUUCUCCAUCACUCUCCUUCUUAGAUCAGCCCCUCUCUACUCCUCGCAUCUCCUCCUCUAAAGUCCUUGAUCUUUUAGCGUCUAUGGAAACGGUGUGGCGGCGAUGUCGUUUUAGGUGGCGAUGUUGGUGCUUGCGGUGCCUUAAUUCCUUGAUAAGGGUUUCGAUUUGGGUUAUUUUUGGAAGGAGAUGGAGAUUUCAAUAAAACUGAAAAAGCUUGGCGAGCCUACUGGUGGUACUUUAUUUGGGAAAACUGUGUUUAUUUUGGGACUUGGGAAUAUUGGGUGUGAAUUGGCAAAGCGAUUGAGACCAUUUGAUGUUAAAAUCCUUGCAACAAAACGCAGCUGGAUCUCCAGCAAUGAUGAUUGUGUUGCUGAUCUUGUUGAUGAGAAGGGUAGCCAUGAUGAUGUAUACAAGUAUGCAGGCCUGGCAGACAUAGUUAUUUAUCUCCUGAAUAUGAGCCAUGAGACUGUAAGGUUACACACUUGUUGUCAAUUUCCGUGUUAAUCAAAGAGAGGUGCUGACCAAGGUGUUUUAAUUAAUGGGUAGGCUGGUGUCAUAAACCAUUCAGUCAUACCAUCCAUGUAAAAGGUUUGUUCUGUCUAUCUUAAGUCUCUUUGAUUCAGCUGAUCCAUCCUCACCUUUAAUAAAAUUAGCAUGUGAAGAAUCUCUGUGGCGGGGUAGAGGCUCUACAAUGAGAAACUAGUUCAAUUCAAUUAAAUAUUGUCUUGGUGCUGGUAAGGUACUUUGCUGAAGUAUUUUAAUAAUUGUCAAUUGUUUUGGAUUUUCAUUAUUUUAAUAAUCUGGCAGUGAUAAUUUUUUAAUGUACUCUUGCACAAAAGAUAAAAGUAAGGACAACUGAUUUAAGGGUCAUUUUUCCUUUUCAACCUUCAGUUCAUAAUGGCAAAUGGUGUCCUCGUCCGGGUUCUCAUACAUACAGAUGUCACGAAAUAUCUCUACUUCAAAGAAGUUGAUGGUAGUUUCGUUUUUAACAAGGGAAAGGUUCACAAAGUGCCUGCUACUGUCAUGGAGGCCCUGAAAUCUCCAUUGAUGGGAUUGUUCAGUUCACAAAGUGCCCGACUAAACCAUAUACUCUCUAAUCUGGGUAUGCAGCUUAAUCGGCCUGGUUAAUUGACGAAGCAAUCUCAACACUGUAGAUACCCCUUGAUUCUUGAAGGAUGAAGACCCCUGAUAUCGUCAUCGUAUAACAUUGAUUCAGGCAAGGCUUUGCCCAAGUAAGAAUCAUUGUUUUUAUGUGACAAUGUUACGGGUCUUAAUGCUUGAUUUAUGCUUAGGAUCUUUAUUUACUGUCUGUGGAAUCAUGUUUUCGUUUAUUGUUUUUUUUAAAAGACCUUGCAAUCCUCUAGUUAUGAUCUAAGUCAAAGAUGAAAGCUUUGCAGAAUUGCAGAUUCCAUUAGUUAUAGAAGUUGUUUACUUGUUGUGCAUUGAGCAAUCAUAAUAAUAUGCUUGUGGUUUAUUUACGAGUCA